rnacentral:rRNA from 1 species
GGAGGGGGCGAGCGUUAUUCGGAAUUAUUGGGCGUAAAGGGCGCGUAGGCGGCUUGACAAGUCAAAGGUGAAAUCCCUCGGCUCAACUGAGGAACUGCCUUUGAAACUGUCUGGCUUGAGUCCGGGAGGGGGUAGCGGAAUUCCCAGUGUAGCGGUGAAAUGCGUAGAUAUUGGGAGGAACACCAGUGGCGAAGGCGGCUACCUGGACCGGAACUGACGCUGAUGCGCGAAAGCGUGGGUAGCAAACAGGAUUAGAUACCCUGGUAGUCCACGCUGUAAACGAUGGGUGCUCGGUGUCGCGGGUAUCGACCCCUGCGGUGCCUUAGCCAACGCGUUAAGCACCCCGCCUGGGGAGUACGGUCGCAAGGCUGAA